GAGCUGAGGGGCGCCUGUGUGAGGAGCCGCGCGCGCGGGGCGGCUGCGGGCUGAGAGCGGCCCGGGCAGUCCUGGGACUCCUCGGUACCGGCUGGCAGCUGCGGGAGGGGUGGGCGCUGCAGGCAGGUGUUUCUGCGCUCUGCGAUCAGCUAAUCAAGUAACCGUGCACUGGGUCGCCUUGUGCAAGCUGGAGGCACGCGUGCGUCUCCGUGGAGCACGCUUUGCUAAGCAGCCUGCGGGUUACCGCCGCAGCCGUUGCCUGAGGGAGGCGGGCGUCUACGGAAAUAAAUACCCGCUGUGGAAACCGGGGGGCAGAAAGGUGACUUAGCGCGAUAGACGGCCCGUGCUAACCCUGCUGUGGUUUGCACGUGAGUAGCUUAAGAGAGGAGCUUUCUUAAAGCUCGGGAGCCGGUGCGGGAGGCGCCCGGGGCGGCGGUGUGUCAGCUGCAGGCACCGCUUCCACUGCCCGCUUAAUCACUCGAUUAACAAUUCAGGCAAAAAGCCACACACGCUUCAUGCAAAUACCUAGCUAUCCAUUAGGCGGAAUAAGGGAAAUGAAAUUACCGCGAGGAUACUGCUAAAUCAGCUCAUAAUUGUUGUGUUUUCACAAGCUGGUGGCAUUGGUUAGCUGACAUCAAUGAGUAUUUGUUGUGUGCAGUUAGGAUAUGCCCUGGGGAAAAGCUUUAUUCAUCCACGCUGCCGUCAGUUAAAAGCAGAACGAGCCCAGGCUGCCACCGCCGCCCUGCAUGUCCCGGGGUUUGCUGUCUGGCUCAGAGCAACGCUUGUGUUCCCUGGACUGCUGUCUGCAGGCUUUCUGGAAAGCUUUGCCAUCUAUGAUGAUUCUCUUUGAGGACAGUCACGACAUUCAUUUUCUCCGUACCUUAAAGUCAGAACGACGUAUGCAAUUUUUUUGUUCCUCUUUUCAUCUGGGAACACAUAGAGAAGCAUGACUUUAACGCUGCAUUCAGCUGAAAGGGUCUUAUAGACAUGCAUAAGGCCUAGCUUAUGGCAGACAUGGGAAUGCUGCUUUGAAAUGCCGAGCUCUUAGGCAAGUAUCAUUUUAACCACAGAGCAAAGCUGCAGUGACAUGAACUUGCCGUGGAUUUUCAUGUGGCUAGGUUUUUGCUUUGCUUCACAUGUGAUAGCUGAAUGCUUUCACAGUCGUGCUCCCUGAUCCCACACGCAGGACACAACAGCAGCAGGCUGCAGUUCAGGCUGCCCCACUGCAUCUACACCUGGAGCAGACCACAAGGGCUCUCACCGUGCUCCCUGUCAGCACCUUGUUCUUACUGGACUCAGAAUGAUUGGGAACAGACUCUUGCUUCUGAUUGAGGUAGAAGAGACAUGAUACAUAAAAUACCCACCGCGGGCUAGGCUAAUGAGCAGGAGCACUGCAGCACUGAAAGGACACCAUAUACGUACCAUCUGAGAUGGCUGACUCCUGGGAUAGAGGUCAGCUCUGUUGUCCUAUCUAGUUUUUCAAAGUACUCUUGCUUAUUGUUAUUAUUUAAACACACAGGCUUAAAGCCAAGCUGCUUAAGGCCACACAAUAAAUUAUUCCUUUGUCUUUAA